UUGAAACAUUGUAAAGAUCGGUUGAGCUGGCUCUUCACGGGCAAGUGCUCGCCUUUCUUUCAAUCUUCAUCCACCUGUGCACAUUUUGUAGAGAGGACUGAGAACGUACCUUGUAACAGAGGUACAAGUAUCGGGCUUCUCUAUGUUUUACACACUCAAAUGUAUGUUUUUGAAUGUCUUUUAUAGGGACUUAACUGGCCCUUUAAAAACAAAUA
rnacentral:misc_RNA from 1 species